CCUCGACGUUCUAAUAUAUCCUUAAGUGUAGCACGCCUUAAUUCCUCUUACUGCAUGUCUUGUAGCUGACCUCCAGUGCUGUGGGAUUCAUCCCGUCGCUCGCCACCAAUUGUUAAGACACCUCCAGUGUCUUUAGGCAAAACCGCCAUUUAGUCGACCUUCCCCGUCUGCAAUCUCAGUAACUCCGUUCGCCUAACCUGCAGUACACGAACUAAAUGCAGGGGAAGCGGCAAUCUCCCGACCGGGAUCCGUGAACGGCUCCAAACUCC